rnacentral:rRNA from 5 species
GAGUUUGAUCGUGGCUCAGAUUGAACGCUGGCGGCAUGCCUUACACAUGCAAGUCGAACGGCAGCACGGGAGCUUGCUCCUGGUGGCGAGUGGCGAACGGGUGAGUAAUGCAUCGGAACGUAUCCUGGAGUGGGGGAUAACGUAGCGAAAGUUACGCUAAUACCGCAUAUUCUGUGAGCAGGAAAGCGGGGGACCUUCGGGCCUCGCGCUCUUGGAGCGGCCGAUGUCGGAUUAGCUAGUUGGUGAGGUAAAGGCUCACCAAGGCGACGAUCCGUAGCAGGUCUGAGAGGAUGAUCUGCCACACUGGAACUGAGACACGGUCCAGACUCCUACGGGAGGCAGCAGUGGGGAAUUUUGGACAAUGGGGGCAACCCUGAUCCAGCCAUGCCGCGUGAGUGAAGAAGGCCUCGGUGUAAG